AUUGAACGCUGGCGGCGUGCCUAACACAUGCAAGUCGAGCGGCAACAGGUGUAGCAAUACAUGCUGACGAGCGGCGAACGGGUGAGUAAUGCUUCGGAAUCUACCUUAUGGUGGGGAAUAACUAGCCGAAAGGUUAGCUAAUACCGCAUACGUCCUACGGGAGAAAGCAGGGGAUCGCAAGACCUUGCGCCAAAAGAUGAGCCGAAGUCGGAUUAGCUAGUUGGUAGGGUAACGGCCUACCAAGGCGACGAUCCGUAGCUGGUCUGAGAGGACGACCAGCCACACUGGGACUGAGAACCGGCCCAGACUCCUACGGGAGGCAGCAGUGGGGAAUAUUGGACAAUGGGGGAAACCCUGAUCCAGCGACGCCGCGUGUGUGAAGAAGGCCUGCGGGUUGUAAAGCACUUUUAGUGGGGAUGAAAUGUGCAGGGUUAAUACCUCUGCAUUUUGACCUAACCCACAGAAAAAGCACCGGCUAACUCUGUGCCAGCCGCCGCCGUAA
rnacentral:rRNA from 1 species